UUCUUCAGUUCUCACUUCACUGUAUCAGUCACUUCGGAAACCGUCGCAACAACCGUUCUCUUCUCUCUCUGAUGGCGUGCAUGGCGAACCCGUUCCUCCACUCGCCUUCAUCCUCUUCUCCUCAAUUCCCUCAUCUUCAUCGCCGCUUCCAUUCCAACUCAAUGCGAUUUCACCGCAACACGAGUUUCGCCACCAAAAUCAAAAUGUCCUCCGCCUCCGACUCCCUCCCUCCUGAAAACGGCGUCGUCGUGGUUGGGUGCGGAAUGACGACCGUGGAUUUCUUGGCCACCGUCGAUGGAUAUCCGAAGCCAGACGACAAGGUGCGAACGACGUCGUUCAAGGUUCAAGGAGGCGGCAAUGCCGGUAAUGCUGUGACUUGUGCUGCUCGACUCGGCUUGAAACCCAAACUCAUCUCCAAGGUUGCAGAUGAUGCGCAGGGGAAGAGCAUAUUGAAGGAGCUAGAAGCUGAUGGUGUUGAUACUUCCUGCAUUGUUGUAUCCAAGGGUGGAAGUUCAACGUUUUCAUAUAUACUGGUAGACAGCCAAAAGAAAACGCGCACAAGUAUUUACACCCCUGGAGAUCCUCCCCUGAUGCCAGAUGAUCUGUCCCAUUCAACGUUAUUAUCUGCAUUUGAUGAAGCAAGAUUAGUUUAUUUUGAUGGAAUGUCUACUGAAACUGCUCUAUUUGUUGCACAAGAGGCAGCUCGCAGUAAUAUUCCUAUUUUAGUUGAGGCAGAAUCACCCAGGGAAGGGUUGGACGAGCUCCUGAAGCUUGCUGAUUUUGCUGUAUGCUCAGCUAGGUUUCCACAGGCUUGGACACAGGCACCCUCUAUCCCCAGUGCACUGGUUUCCAUGCUUUUAAGAUUGCCAAAUAUCAAAUUUGUGAUUGUGACUUUGGGUGCAGAUGGUUGUCUAAUGUUGGAAAGAAGUACAACUGAGGAUGCUGACAUAGAAGAAAGGGAUGUAGAGAGCUUCAUAGAAUUCUUAUACAAAGGGAAAGAUGAUAGUUCGGCUAUCCCAACCUGUAUAUCAUCGGUAGUGGCUAAAUUCAGAACAAAUGGAAUAGGAACAAUUUGUGGGAGAUUCUUUAUUGGAACAGCAGAGAAGAUACCAGAUUCUGAGCUGGUGGACACAACUGGUGCUGGAGAUGCAUUUAUUGGAGCCAUUAUUUAUGCUAUCUGCGCCAACAUGGCACCAGAGAAAAUGUUGCCGUUUGCUGCUCAAGUGCAUCCCCUUCUCAGGUGAUGACCUCUCCACAUAUCUGCAAGAGAAGGAUAUCUCAGAAACGAAACCAGCAGAUGAGCUUAUUGAGAAUCCGGUCUUCCAAUUUUUAAAUGAAUAGGGUCUUAUUUGAGAAGGGGAGUCUUGGCGCAAUGGUAAAAGGUUGAUGCCAUGUAACUGAGAUUGUUGGUCCAUAUCUUGGAAACAACCUAUUGUGUAAAAAUAAGGUAAGACUGCGUACAAUAGACUUUGCUUUGGGCUGCCUGUUUUUUUAGGGUCUUAUCUGAACUCUAUUUCAUGUGAGUCUUUUAUACACCUGCAUGUUUAUCUAAUCAUUGGUUCCCCUAUAGUUCUGUAGGUAUUCUUUAACUAGAAAAUGCAAGAGAAAAUAUACCUUUGGGCUUUGUUUCUACACACACACAUUGAUUCCCAAUUGUUAACCCUUCUCCGUCUUUCCUCGAUUCUCAAUCGAAAAACCUACUCCUCCUCUUCCUCACACGCUAUGAACGUCUGGUAGAGUGACCAUCUUUCUUCGUCGUCACAUCCUUCCUCUGUGAAGCGACAUGGUGAUCCGAACGGUAAACCAGUAGAUAAACUUAACCUUGAAAAAAGUGAAACCUUGCCCGAGGAAAGUUCUCGAUGAGAUCUAAUGGUUGAAAUUACAAAUACAAACAGUAAAUCAGCAGAGAAAUUGCGGUUCUCAACCAUGAUAAUGAUGGUGAUAAUGGUAGCAACAAUAAUGGUUGAGAUCUAAAAUUAUAGUCCGAAAGAGGGAGGGAGCUGAUUGAUCUUCGACUAUUAUGAAUCAAGGAGAACAAGAAUGAGAAUCGGAGAAUCGAGAAGAACAAGCGUAUGAACGAGAAUUAGAGGAUCGAGAAGAACAUGAACGU